CAGUAGCCACGGUAAUACGUAGGGUGCAAGCGUUAAUCGGAAUUACUGGGCGUAAAGGGCUCGCAGGCGGUUUCUUAAGUCUGAUGUGAAAGCCCCCGGCUCAACCGGGGAGGGUCAUUGGAAACUGGGAAACUUGAGUGCAGAAGAGGAGAGUGGAAUUCCACGUGUAGCGGUGAAAUGCGUAGAGAUGUGGAGGAACACCAGUGGCGAAGGCGACUCUCUGGUCUGUAACUGACGCUGAGGAGCGAAAGCGUGGGGAGCGAACAGGAUUAGAUACCCCAGUAGUCCCUGUCUCUUAUAC
rnacentral:rRNA from 1 species